AUCCAGUCCCAGGACAUCUCAAAGCUCUGCAGAAAGAACUUGAGCAAUUUGCCAAGCUCCUGAAGCAGAAGAGGAUCACCCUGGGAUAUGCACAGGCUGAUGUGGGGCUUACCCUGGGGGUUCUAUUUGGGAAUAUGUUCAGCCAAACGACCAUCUGCCUCUUUGAGGCUCAACAGCUUAGCUUCAAGAACAUGUGUAAGCGGCGCGGCCCUUGCUGCAGAAGUGGGUGGAGGAAGCCGACAACAAUGAAAAUAUUCAGGAGAUAUGCAAAGCCGAAACCCUCGUGCAGGCCUGAAAGAGAAAGCGAACCAGUAUUGAGAACCUGGAGAAUGUGUUCCUGCAGCGCCUGAAGCCCACACUGCAGCAGAUCAGUCACAUUGCCCAGCAGCUUGGGCUCUAGAAGGAUGUGAUCCGAGUGUGGUUCUGUAAUUGGCGCCAGAAGGGCAAGCAAUCAAGCAGUGAUUAUGCACCAUGAGAGGAUUUUGAGGCUGCUGGGUCUCCUUUCUCAGGGGCACCAGUGUCCUUUCCUAUGGCCUCAGGGCCCCAUUUUGGUGCCCCAGGCUCCCAUUUUGGUACCCCAGGCUAUGGGAGCCCUCAUUGCACUGCACUGCACUGUGUUCCUUAGUGCCUUUCCCCCUGUUUCUGUCGCCACUCUGGGCUCUCCCAUGCAUUCAAACUGAGGUGCCUGCCCUUCUAGGAAUGGGAUACAGGGAGAGGGCGGAAGCUAGGGAAAGAGAACCCGGAGUUUGUGCCAGGGCUUUUGGGAUUAAGUUCUUCAUUCAGUAAGGAAGGAAUUGGGAACACAAAGGGUGGGGGCAGGGGAGUUUGGGGCAACUGGUUGGAGGGAAGGUGAAGUUCGGUGAUGCUCUUGAUUUUAAUCCCCAUAUCAUGUAUCACUUUUUUCUCAAAUGAAGAAGACUGGGACACAGUAGGUAGA